AAAUUCAUUCUCUUCAACCUCAGCCGCCGUUCUCUCCUCUCCCCUGCCAGGCAGAGCGCCGCUCCCUCAUCCUCUCGCCGCGUCGCUCCAUCGUCCUCUCGCUGAACGCGCUCCUCGCCGCACCGCGCUGCCCAGCCCCUUCGAUCCUCACCACGCCCCUCGCCCCUGUGUCUCUCUCUCGCACGCGCGGAUCGAGCAAGGGUGUGGCUCCUUUGACGGCGCGGCCCCUGGUACCUUCGAUGGAGCAUGGUCCCUCCGCCCGCACUGCAGCAGCGCGGGGCCUGGAGCCUGGAUCGAUGCAGGGCGUGACUCCACUAACCGCGCAGCGGCACGGUGUUCCUCCGGUGGCAGCGCGGGGCCUGUAGCCCAGAUCGACGCAGGGCGCGACUCCUCCAGCCACGCAGCGGCACCGGUUUCCUCCGGCGGCAGCGCGGGGCCUGGAGCUCGGAUCGACGGGAAGCGCGGCACCUACGGUGGUGGCGAGUCCAGAUCUACCGUCGGCGGCCAGGGAGUCGCAAGUGUCAUCACGGAGGGAGCUCCUCCGGCUGCGGGACUUGUCCUAGGACCUUGCGACGUCGGCGACUGACAGGAUACAACUAUGGAUAUCACUCAGGUUCUACUAGCUGCUCAAUCUCCAGAUGCUAACCUUCGAACAGUAGCAGAAAGCAACCUCACACAGUUCCAAGAGCAGAAGCUUUAAGCUACGCUCAACUGUGUACUACUUUUUCAACUUGGGUAGCAGCAACAAUAAGGUCUGAAGCUUUCUCUACAAGUACCUGCACAUGAUUUUGCUGUGAUCUUAGUGGCAAAUUGUUGUGAUCUUCACUGAACAGAAAUGACAGUGGUGUUGCUGGUGGUUGCCUGUGGCCCUAGUUUAGUAGUGUUGUUGUUGAGUUGUGAGUCAAGUACUGAUGUUAAGUACUGAUGUAGUUAUCUUGCUACUGAUGUAAGUUAGUUGUGAGUCACGUACUGAUGUUAAGCGAGUUAUGCAAUAAUUUAUGUUGCCACUUUGUGGAAUCUCUUAGUCAUUUCAAUGUUAUUAAAAAAUGCAUGUUUCAUUCC